GGGCCAGGAGGUUUUCUUUUCACAAAAUUGUCGGGCAAGCUGUAAUAAAAGGGGAAUAUGAGUGGUUCUUAUGGUAUGCUCGUAACUGAAUUGAACAUGACUGUGGUCUAGUCCAUUAGAUGCUUAUAACUUGACCCUUGUGUCAUUCGGAGUUUACUAAUUGUCAGUAUUUCAUGGAUAUAUAAGGCAUUACUGGGCACACGGCCUAGAGGAACUCAAGUGAACAACAAAGCUAAUAGGGUAUUAGCGAUGACGCUCUGAAGUUGUGAGACUUGCACAAUUGUGUUCCAAUGAAGGAUGUUGCUGCAAUAUUAUGAACGGGCCAAGUUAUCACAGAAUGUCUUAUAUGAUCUGUUUUAGAUGUCGCUUACAUUAGAUAUGCUUUAUCUGGUAAAAAUGGUACCAAUAGAAUGAGUGGGUGUUCUUAAAGAUCUGCAUUGAUCAUUAGAGCUUGUCAAUGUUCCGGUGUAAGUUAAAUAUCUUAGAAGUAUUUAAACUU